rnacentral:rRNA from 1 species
UACGGAGGAUCCAAGCGUUAUCCGGAUUUAUUAGGUUUAAAGGGUGCGUAGGCGGGGAAAUAAGUCAGUGGUGAAAUACUUCAGCUUAACUGAAGCACUGCCAUUGAUACUGUUUUUCUUGAGUACGGUUGAGGUAGGCGGAAUGUGCAGUGUAGCGGUGAAAUGCUUAGAUAUUGCACAGAACACCGAUUGCGAAGGCAGCCUGCUAAGCCGUUACUGACGCUGAUGCACGAAAGCGCGGGGAUCGAACAGG